rnacentral:snRNA from 1 species
GAGAUUCCCACUGUCCCUG